rnacentral:rRNA from 1 species
UAACAAGGAUUCCCCUAGUAACUGCGAGUGAAGCGGGAAGAGCUCAAAUUUAAAAUCUGGCGGCUUCUAGUCGUCCGAGUUGUAACCUGGAGAGGCAUUUUCCGCGUUGGACCGUGUACAAGUCUCCUGGAAUGGAGCGUCAUAGAGGGUGAGAAUCCCGUCCAUGACACGGACCGCCAAUGCUCUGUGAUAUGCCUUCGAAGAGUCGCGUUGUUUGGGAAUGCAGCGCAAAAUGGGUGGUAAAUUCCAUCUAAAGCUAAAUAUUGGCGAGAGACCGAUAGCGAACAAGUACCGUGAGGGAAAGAUGAAAAGCACUUUGGAAAGAGAGUUAAACAGUACGUGAAAUUGUUGAAAGGGAAGCGCUUGAAGUCAGUCGCGUUCCGUGGAACUCAGCCUUACCUCGGUUUGGUGUACUUUCCAUUUGAACGGGUCAACGUCAAUUUUGGCCGGUGGACAAAGACAAGGGGAAUGUAGCGUUGCUUCGGUGACGUGUUAUAGACCCUUGUUGUAUACACCGGUUAGGAUUGAGGACUGCAGCACGCCCUUGUGGCCGGGGGUUCGCCCCACGUAACGUGCUUAGGAUGUUGGCAUAAUGGCUUUAAGCGACCCGUCUUGAAACACGGACCAAGGAGUCUAACAUGCUUGCGAGUGUUCGGGUGGAAAACCCUUGCGCGUAAUGAAAGUGAAAGUUAGGAACCUUCUCGCAAGAGAGGGUGCACUGACGCCCGGCCCUGACGUUCUCUGACGGUGCUGCGGUAGAGCAAGUGCGUUGGGACCCGAAAGAUGGUGAACUAUGCCUGAAUAGGGCGAAGCCAGAGGAAACUCUGGUGGAGGCUCGUAGCGAUUCUGACGUGCAAAUCGAUCGUCAAAUUUGGG